GCCGGCUUAGCUUAAUGGUAGAGCAUUUGAUUUGUAAUUAAAAAGUCAUAGGUUCAAAUCCUAUAGCCGGCA
rfam:Candidatus Nasuia deltocephalinicola str. NAS-ALF, complete genome.